UACGGAGGGUGCAAGCGUUAUUCGGAAUUACUGGGCGUAAAGCGCACGUAGGCGGCUUCGUAAGUCAGGGGUGAAAUCCCACGGCUCAACCGUGGAACUGCCUUUGAAACUGCAAAGCUUGAAUCCUGGAGAGGGUGGCGGAAUUCCUGGUGUAGGAGUGAAAUCCGUAGAUAUCAGGAGGAACACCGGUGGCGAAGGCGGCCACCUGGACAGGUAUUGACGCUGAGGUGCGAAAGUGUGGGGAGCAAACAGG
rnacentral:rRNA from 2 species